rnacentral:misc_RNA from 1 species
GAUGAAGAACGUAGCGAAAUGCGAUAAGUAAUGUGAAUUGCAGAAUUCCGUGAAUCAUCGAAUCUUUGAACGCACAUUGCGCCUUCUGGUAUGCCGGGGGGCAUGCCUGUCCGAGCGUCAUUUGCAACCCUCAAGCCCGGCUUGUGUGAUGGGUGCCGUCCCCUACGGGACGCGCCCCGAAGGCAAUGGCGGCGUCGCGGUUAUCCGAUCAGCCAAAGUGUAUGGGGCUUUGUCACUCACUUUACGGCCCGGACCGGCGCCAGUCCGAAUCAAUCUUUUUUCUAAAGUUGACCUCGGAUCAGGUAGGGAUACCCGCUGAACUUAAGCAUAUCAAUAGCGGAGGA